AAAAUCAACAAUAAUACGUUGGAUAACUUCCUGUGACUAACGUCAUUCAUAGGAAAAGCCUUGACCAGAACUUUGAAAACAUGAGAGAAGUGAUAAAUGUUCAUAUAGGCCAAGCGGGUGUUCAAAUGGGAAAUGCUUGUUGGGAACUGUAUUGUUUGGAACAUGGGAUUCAUCCAGAUGGAUUGAUGCCGAGUGAUGAGUCUAUUGGGCAAGCAGAUGACUCAUUUAAUACGUUCUUCUCAGAAACUAGUGGGGGAAAGCAUGUUCCAAGGGCCGUAUUUGUGGAUCUGGAACCAACUGUUAUAGAUGAAAUACGAACUGGAACUUAUAAGGAUUUAUUCCAUCCAGAACAACUCAUUAAUGGCAAAGAAGAUGCAGCGAAUAACUAUGCUCGAGGUCAUUAUACUAUUGGAAAGGAACAAAUUGAUGUGACAAUGGAUCGGUUGAGAAGACUUGCAGAUCAAUGCUCUGGUCUUCAGGGAUUCUUAGUUUUUCAUUCUUUCGGCGGUGGAACUGGCUCUGGGUUUGCUUCACUUUUAAUGGAAAGACUGUCAGUGGAUUUUGGAAAGAAAUGCAAACUAGGAUUUUCUAUUUAUCCAGCACCCCAGAUUUCAACAGCGAUUGUGGAGCCAUACAAUGCCAUACUCUACACUCAUACUACUCUAGAACAUUGUGACGUCGUAUUUUUAGUAGACAAUCAAGCUAUAUAUGAUAUUUGUCGAAAAAAUUUAGAAGUCGGAAGACCAACUUACAGUAACUUAAAUAGGCUUAUUGCCCAAAUUAUAUCGUCUGUUACAGCUUCCCUUCGAUUUGACGGCGCCUUGAAUGUUGAUUUAACUGAAUUUCAGACGAAUCUUGUUCCUUAUCCACGGAUUCAUUAUCCACUUGCCACAUAUAGUCCAGUGAUAUCCGCUUCAAGGGCAUAUCACGAGAAAUUAUCCGUGGAUGAAAUAACAAAAAAUUGCUUCGAACCAAGUAGUCAAAUGGUCAAAUGCAAUCCCCAAAGAGGAAAAUAUAUGGCCGUUUGUUUAUUAUAUAGAGGAGAUGUUGUACCAAAAGACGUAAAUGCAGCUAUAGCCGCUAUAAAAGUAAACAAGACUGUUCAAUUCGUUGAUUGGUGCCCAACUGGAUUCAAGGUUGGAAUUAAUUAUCAACCUCCGACUGUAGUUCCUGGAGGAGAUCUAGCAAAAGUUCACCGUGCUGUUUGUUGUCUCUCCAACACAACAGCUAUUCAAGAGGCAUGGGCUGCUCUGGAUCAUAAGUUUGAUCUUAUGUUUGCCAAAAGAGCCUUUGUUCAUUGGUAUGUUGGUGAGGGCAUGGAGGAAGGGGAAUUUUCUGAGGCUCGGGAAGACAUUGCCGCCCUAGAAUUAGACUAUCAAGAAGUGGCUACGGAUAACUUUUCAAGUGAAGACUACGAAGAUGAUGAAGCAGACGAUCACUAUUAACAGCUACUUUAUAAUUAUAAAUAAUAACGUAUUUGUACCAUUCCAUAAAAAUAAUAGCAAUACACUUAUGAUGAUAAUUUUUAGAACGCAGCAAAAUAAUGGGAAAUACUCGUAAACAAGGUUUGUGGGUGAAGGAAUGGAAGAAGGAGAGUUCGCUGAGGCCCGUGAGGAUACAGCUGCC
rnacentral:misc_RNA from 1 species